rnacentral:lncRNA from 1 species
UUAUUAAUUAUGUCAAUGGUCAAAUUUGAUUAAACACCAAUAUAUUUAGAUAGAUGAAGUACAACUCAUCUUUCCAAAAGGAAAUUAUUAGGAAACUUGGAAGGGGGCGAGGCAAACUUUUUAAAUACACCUUAUAUAAAAGAAUGGAUGAAGUAUAUGAUUACGUAAUUUUGAUGUUACAAAAUAGAGUCUUAAGUCUCCCGCUGUGCCUAAGGUCCCUUUACCAAUCACCAAUGUGCCAUAGAUUAUUCUUGUCACUGACCAGAUGUUUUGGUAAGUUUCCUAAAAUAUCACAGUGGUCAGCGUCCGUACAGCUCGUACCUGAAUGGCCAAGCACGCGAAUUGUCAAACGUGUUCGGUAUAAACACGAGAGAACACACCUGUUCUUUACCUGACUGACCAAACACCUUGUCUGAUCUAAAUAGCUGCAUUCAAGCGUACUUUACGUGUUUGCUACUCUGUCUAUGCGUUAACGGCAAAAACACGAGGCCUGUCCUGCCUGGAAAUGCGAAAUUCCUAUAUCUGGCAGCCCUGGUUA